CGCGAACCCAGGAGAAUGUGCGCGCGCAGGGUGGCGUUGAGGGAAGCUUUGAGUUCUCCAUGGGGCUUCGAACCCUAUCCCGGGCGUGUGCCCCUCCGGGACCCCAAUCUCGUUUAUCUUACACACAGCUGCUACAGUUGCCCGCCCUCCUAGGGUAGAAUGCGACUCCGGCUUCCCGCGCUUUUUGAGAGGGAACACACCUCCAUGAAGAACUCGCAACUAUGUCUCUCUCGAAACAUUAUUAAGUAACCUAUACGUCCAGUAUGACCCUAAUUUUUAAGGGAUGUGUAUAUGUAAUUAACACAGAGCGGAAGGACUGGACGUUAAGAAAUGUUAAGAAUUCUCAGGCACCUGUGGUCCCAGCU
rnacentral:lncRNA from 1 species